GUCUUGUCCCAGGUGCUCUGUACAACAGAGUUUGGAGGAUGGAGUUGUCGAGCUGUGAAGUCCAUGAAGAUAGAGGUUCCAGAUUUGGUCUGUAUAGAAGGAUUCAUCUCAACACAGUGCAAAUUAGGAGAGAAAAAUACAUCAUGACAGAUUACCUGUUCAAGUGGGGAGGUAGUGUCCGUUGUGUUCAGGUAGAAGGCACGACUGGCUUCGUCAAUGGCAUGCCAUCAAGAACUGACACUUGAUGUGAUACUCCGUAGAUCUUAAGUGGAAAAUAAAUAGCUAGAAGGAUGCAAAGGUCAUCUCUCACAAUUCCUUAUUGAAGCGUACAUUGAAUGGGAAAUGCAAUCUGAAUCAUAUUUUUCUAUACAGUGCACUCCAAGUAAGAGGUGAAACUGUAAGUAAAGAAAUUUGCUGCCAAAGCAUUAUACUCGUACAUAAUAAUAACAAAUGGCCUUGUUUUCUCAUAACUGCAAAACAGAUUUAAUCUAAAGAAAAAUACAGAAAUCAAAGAUCUUCCAUUCCUGUUUUGUAAGCUGAAUUUGAGACUAUUUGAGUUUUCCCUCGGGAGAAAAUGCAAGCAUACCUACAAAUCAACAAUCAUGAAAAUGAAUUAAGAUUAGCAUAUGAAUUUAUUAUAUUAUGCUUAAACACAAUCAUAUUCAGUCGUAAAUCUUUAUCUGACUUUUACUUACAUGCACAAAUACUCCAAUUGAUAGGAUGAUUAAUCCAAGAUGCUACUGUACUAUUGCCACAUGCUUCUCUACAUGGGUCAUAAACUCCUAACACAAGCGUACGACAUGGAUUAAUAAUAUUCUCAAAUUCUUGGUUAGAAUCCAUCUGUGCCACUAAAGUUACAAAAUAAAAGCUCUGCAUUACUGACCAUCACCCAUUUUGACAAAAGAAGCCUUCCCAUGCUGAACAACUGAAUUUGGGAAAUAAUACCAAGGAAUAGUAAACAAACAAAAUGGACCUGCAUAAUCUUUUUACUUGCAAACAUGGGUGGGAACAUACUUUGACCUGAUCUGUUGGAGCGCUAGCUAGUGACAUGUCUAAUUGCUCACAUCCAAACAGUAAGUUACUUUUAUAUCAUCCAAGGAAAAAGGAAUUUCCUACUGCAUCAUAAGAUUUUAUCUACUAAACUUAUGAACCAAAACAGCACAAGAUUCUACAUGCAUUCAUGUAAACAGUCAGGCAAUGGAUGAAUCGGGGAAAAAAAUGGAGGGUGUAGACAAAUAUCGAGCUGUCAAUUCAUUCAUAUAAAUAAUUAUGAUGCAAGACAUCAGAUCGGUAGAUAAAAUAAGGUACACCUAUCAUCGAAGGAUUUUUUUUUGCCAGGCCAUUUCAACAUCCUUACAGAUAAAAUGGGAUUAGAGGAUUUUUUUUCUCUUCUGUUUUUUGGGUUUGCACUGAAUUUUGUGUGGGUGUGUGAAAGUGCAAUUUUACUGCAUUAGUACAGGAUAUUUAUUAAAAAAAAGGCUUUAAAUUGUGUUUUAUAUUUCACCGGGCACUUUGUGUUUUGUAUGAAAGGUGCUCUUACCUGAAAAAUUAUAUGAAGAGUGAUUGACUGUAAUAGUAUUUUGGAAUUUCACAACACAUAUGUCAACCGUUAAAAAAAACUCACUUGAUAUUGUUAAUGAUGUUGGAAGUCAGUAACUAUGGAAGUCCAAAGCUGAAAUAUUGCCAAUUCUUUACAAAUGCACUACUAAUAUAGCUAUGUGGAGCUGGAGAUAUGCCCUACACGUUUUGAAACACAGAAACCAUGCAGUUGGUUCAAACACUGUAGCAUCUAGGAACAAUAAUCAUAAACAAAUACUGCCUGACAAUAACAUAGAAACGCUGCCAAUCAUGUGCAAUUAAAUAUGUUCUCAUCAAGGCAUUUCAUCGAGCAGUACGAGUGCAUUGGAACGAAGAAUACCUGUCCAGAGCGAGUGUUGUGAGCAGGAUGUGCCACGGCGUCGGUCGGGCGGUGCGAAUCGGCGGCCGACGGUGAGGGGAGGGAUGACGUCGGCGGCGGCCCUCGUCGACGGAGUCUAGCGGCACGAUGAGCCAGCGGUUAGAGGAAUCGGCGGGCGGCGAAGGUCAGGGGAGGGAUGACGUCGGGGCAGCGAGGGCGGCGGCGGCGGGGUGUAGGCGUGUCAUCCGACGAUGGCGAGGGGAGGGAUGACGUCGGCGGUGAAGCUAGUCGACGGGUGUCGGGCGGUGCGAGGGGGCGGUGGUUAGGGUUCCGGCGAUGGUGAGGGGAGGGACGAAGUCGGCACCGGGGAGGUGACGAAGUUGGUGGAGGCGGGUGAUGAAUCCCGAGGUCGGGCGGCGAGGGCGGCGGAGGUGGGGUUGGGGCAGCGAGGGCGGCGGAUGUGGGGUGGCGGCGGCGAUACGAGAAAGAGGAAAGGAGGAGCGAAAGGAGAGAGCAGGCGAGCGAAAGGAGGAGCGCGGCG
rnacentral:lncRNA from 1 species